GACGAAAAAGCCAUUCAAAGGUUGUGG
rnacentral:piRNA from 1 species